rnacentral:rRNA from 1 species
AUUGAACGCUGGCGGCAUGCCUUACACAUGCAAGUCGAACGGCAGCGCGGGGCAACCUGGCGGCGAGUGGCGAACGGGUGAGUAAUAUAUCGGAACGUGCCCUGGAGUGGGGGAUAACGUAGCGAAAGUUACGCUAAUACCGCAUACGAUCCAAGGAUGAAAGCAGGGGGACCUUCGGGCCUUGUGCUCCUGGAGCGGCCGAUAUCUGAUUAGCUAGUUGGUGGGGUAAAAGCCUACCAAGGCGACGAUCAGUAGCUGGUCUGAGAGGACGACCAGCCACACUGGAACUGAGACACGGUCCAGACUCCUACGGGAGGCAGCAGUGGGGAAUUUUGGACAAUGGGGGCAACCCUGAUCCAGCAAUGCCGCGUGUGUGAAGAAGGCCU